CCUACGGGUGGCUGCAGUGAGGAAUAUUGGUCAAUGGCCGAGAGGCUGAACCAGCCAAGUCGCGUGAGGGAAGACGGCCCUACGGGUUGUAAACCUCUUUUGUCGGGGAGCAAAGCGAACCACGUGGGGUUCAUUGAGAGUACCCGAAGAAAAAGCAUCGGCUAACUCCGUGCCAUAAGCCCGGGUAAUACGGAGGAUGCGAGCGUUCUCCGGAUUUAUUGGUUUUAAAGGGUGCGCAGGCGGAGGUGCAAGUCAGCGGUCAAAUUGCGGGGCUCAACCCCGUACUGCCGUUGAAACUGCAUCCCUUGAGUGCGCGAGAAGUAUGCGGAAUGCGUGGUGUAGCGGUGAAAUGCAUAGAUAUCACGCAGAACUCCGAUUGCGAAGGCAGCAUACCGGCGCGCAACUGACGCUCAUGCACGAAAGCGUGGGUAUCGAACAGGAUUAGAUACCCGAGUAGUC
rnacentral:rRNA from 1 species